AUACCUUUCUCGGCCUUUUGGCUAAGAUCAAGUGUAGUAUCUGUUCUUAUCAGUUUAAUAUCUGAUACGUUGGCCAUAGGCCUUCUCGAUAUUAACUCUAUUUUUUAAGGGAAGAAGUCUGUCAUGAUAGCUUGCUAUCUGGCCUUCCAUGAAUCGUCCAUGCGUUGCACUGCUGCAAGGCUUGGCUUAACCCAC
rfam:Brassica napus, WGS project CCCW01000000 data, contig: 22963